AUUGAACGCUGGCGGCAUGCCUUACACAUGCAAGUCGAACGGCAGCACGGGUGCUUGCACCUGGUGGCGAGUGGCGAACGGGUGAGUAAUACAUCGGAAUAUGUCCUGUAGUGGGGGAUAGCCCGGCGAAAGCCGGAUUAAUACCGCAUACGAUCUACGGAUGAAAGCGGGGGACCUUCGGGCCUCGCGCUAUAGGGUUGGCCGAUGGCUGAUUAGCUAGUUGGUGGGGUAAAGGCCUACCAAGGCGACGAUCAGUAGCUGGUCUGAGAGGACGACCAGCCGCACUGGGACUGAGACACGGCCCAGACUCCUACGGGAGGCAGCAGUGGGGAAUUUUGGACAAUGGGCGAAAGCCUGAUUCAGCAAUGCCGCGUGUGUGAAGAAGGCCUUCGGGUUGUAAAGCACUUUUGUCCGGAAAGAAAUCCUUGAUUCUAAUACAGUCGGGGGAUGACGGUACCGGAAGAAUAAGCACCGGCUAACUACGUGCCAGCCGCCGCGGUAACAC
rnacentral:rRNA from 1 species